rnacentral:rRNA from 1 species
UGGGGAAUAUUGGACAAUGGGCGAAAGCCUGAUCCAGCCAUGCCGCGUGUGUGAAGAAGGUCUUCGGAUUGUAAAGCACUUUAAGUUGGGAGGAAGGGCAGUAAGCGAAUACCUUGCUGUUUUGACGGUACCGACAGAAUAAGCACCGGCUAACUCUGUGCCAGCAGCCGCGGUAAUACAGAGGGUGCAAGCGUUAAUCGGAAUUACUGGGCGUAAAGCGCGCGUAGGUGGUUCGUUAAGUUGAAUGUGAAAGCCCCGGGCUCAACCUGGGAACUGCAUCCCAAACUGGCGAGCUAGAGUAGGGCAGAGGGUGGUGGAAGUUCCUGUGUAGCGGUGAAAUGCGUAGAUAUAGGAAGGAACACCAGUGGCGAAGGCGACCACCUGGGCUCAUACUGACACUGAGGUGCGAAAGCGUGGGGAGCAAACAGG